CAAAAUGUUGCCACAGGAUAAAUUUAAGGACAAAAUGCAGUGAUUUGUUAGAUGCAAAAUCUCUGAGAUGGGAGGCUUUUGCUCAAGAGUUGAAAUUGUUGCAUUGAUAAAUGUUGAUGCUGUCUACUACUGCUGGCUGUCUCAGGAGUUUGGGGAAGGAGGGAGAUUUUCAUCCCAUGAAGAAAUUUCUCCUAGUUGUCUCUUAAUCUGUUCUGUGAUCAAUAUUAACACUGCCAAAAUAGUUAAACUCUUUUUCCUUGUUGUCACCCAUCUGUGUAUGAAUUCAUUGCUAAGGCCACAUACAGGACAAUAAAGUGUCUGCAGAUAAAACAAGGGAAGAUUAUUUUUAUUUUUAUUAUAAUCCAUAGAGAAGAUACUUGGUCAGCAAAAUAAAUGACACCAGACACCUUCACUGCAAAUGGUGGGGCUGAUUCAGUUUUUUCUUCCUUCAUUCUUCAACAGAGAUCCAUUUCCUUAAAGGCCAUCAUAUUCUGAGGCAGAGACAUGCACAUGUGUUUUUGCUUAGGGGCUGUGUCUGCAGUGAUGUCCAGACUGUUUCUUGGGGACCUGGCCAGCACAACUUAGGAGACAUUCUGUGUUUCAAUAAUUUCUGCUUUCGGAAGAGCAUACUGUACCUCCAGGCAGAGUCUGAGGUUUGGAGCCCGCCGGGAAUGCGACUAUAACAAAGAGUCCUGAAAGCCUUUGGCUGCUAGGACCAAGCAAGUUCUUUCUGGCAGCACUCCAUUUACUGAUUUGCACAUUCACCCACUCCCUGACACACAACCCACUUACUUCUACAAAUUAAAUGCACAUAUGUGCAAAUUCAUGUGCAUCUCACACACCAACACAUACACAUACAUACCCAAACACCCUUAUGCGCACAGUUGAAAAUAUACCACAUGCACACAUAUACAUUGCUCAUGUAUAUGGGAACAAGCAUAAAAACCCACGGAUGUACACAUGCUUGUACACACACACAUUCUUUAUGCACAUGAACAUGUUGGUCCUCAUAUCCAUGGCAGGAAUUCUGUGACAACUUUGCGGUGUCCAAAUGAUACUAAUAUUUAUAGUCUUCUAGACAAUUGUGCCCUGCUAUAAAAGUGACAUUUUUUAGGAGACACAACGAAAACAAUAACAGCAAUUGUCUCACCAAUUGUAAGGCACAGUCUAUAAAUCACUGUGCCUUACUCCCCAACAAAAGAAAGAAGCAAAGCAUUGUUCAGAACAGAACUGAAAUGUGACCAGGUAUUAAGAUUGGAAAGACUUUCGAGCGGAAAAAUCAAGGCACCGAUAUUAACACAAGCCAGUAAAUAAAUAGAGUCUGAUUUGGCCACCAGCAACUUCUUAAACUUCUGGUUUAAGGUGGAUGAGGAUUUGAGAGUGAUGUUAUGGUUUGUCAACCCACACACAUCUCUGUGGCUUUCAAAUAGAGACAGCCUUCCUGAGUUCCUUCCAGCUUGGGGAUACUAUUUUUGCUAAUGGCAUUUUUAAGGGUCCAAACAGGCCAUUUGCUUACAUAAGAAAUGCAAUGGAAAGAGGCAACAUCUUUUUUGUUGUCAUUUUCUAGUUUGGCAAAACCACAUCUUGGAAGUAAAGCAGAAAUUUUGGAGGCAGUUUACCUAAGACCUCAAACCAAAAUUUACAAACAGCUGGAUAAAUUCUUUAAUGGGGCUGUAUUUGUUCCUAAAUAGUUGGCAACAGGAAGUAUAAUUUUCUUAAAUUCAUCCCUAACAAGCAUUGACUCUUCCACCUUCUCUCUGUCCUACGUGGGACCUCCCACUUCUCCCUGCCCAUCUCAAACCCUAAUAAACAAAUCCCUCUCUUACGCCAUCAGCCUCAGAGAAACGUGAAGGAGUUUUUCUUGAGUUGAGUUCACAGCUGCCCUCUCAGGGCCACUGUAGUGUGCUGGGAGACCUGGAAACCUGGUGGGCAGAGAAACCAAAGUGGGAGGAGAUUAGGGUUGGGUUGGAAUGUGGGGGUGGGGGGAAUUUGAGCAAGAACUUUGAAUCUGAGAAGUCAGAGCCCAGGGUGCUGCCUGGAAUUCCAAAAUGGGGAAAGAGAUCUCAGCUGCUUUCAUAUGGAAAUUGGCCUGGAAGCUGACUUUGUCCCUGCUUGGAACCGAAGCCAAGACCAAGUUCAGUGAACCUAACACACCGUUCAAUCAACCAUUGAAACCCAGGAGAAGAGAAGGCAGGAAAGGGAGGGCAGAGGGUCAAAGAGGCUCGCCUUUCAUUUGGACUUGGUUCCGGAGGUAACAGUAAGGAGGAAUUAAACACUGGAAACAACUUGAAGGCAAAAUCCCAUCUAUCAGGAAGGUGCAUUCUGCCUGGCUUUAAAUGAAAGAAAAGAAGGGGAAAGAAGAAGGAAAUUGAAAAAGAAAGCAAGAAAGCAAGCAAGAAGGAAAAAAGAGAGAAAGAUGUAGACAAUGACAAUCACUCAAAGCAAUGAUUCUGCAAUUGACAAAAUAAAUGCAAAUACAUACACUGGGUGUAACUUAAAGAAGGAAAGAACUGACCUAUAGUUGGCAAAGAUUCCCCCCUCCCCACCCUCUUAGAUAAAGGUUUUCAGAGACCUGAAGAUUCUUAAAGCAGAUACUAACUGGACUUCUGAAAGUUUACUUUAGGACUCGCUUUAACUUUGUUUUGUUUUUAUUGCAGCUUGAAAAGAAAGUUGAAGAAGUACCUACUCUUUGCAAAAAGAAGCUACUAUAGUUUCUUCCUAGAUACUGUUUUGGGGACUAGUUUCUUGUCUUUUGUCCUUGAUUUAUUAUUGCCUUUAUGUGUUCUCCCCAUUUGGUUCAUUUUAUUCUUAUUUUAAAAGAACAGCUCCAAAGACCCUUCUAUUUUCAUGGAAAUUGCUCAGUAGUAACAAUUUCAGAUAGCUUCCAAAAGAAUAAUCAUCACACUGG
rnacentral:lncRNA from 1 species